GAUGAACGCUGGCGGCGUGCCUAACACAUGCAAGUCGAGCGAAUAGACCAGGCUCUUGCUCCUCUGUCGUUAGCGGCGGUCGGGUGAGUAACACGUGUAUUACCUUCCUAUAAGACUGGCAUAACUUCGUGAAACCGGAGCUAAUACCGGAUCAUAUAUUGAACCGUAUGGUUCAUUAGUGAAAUACGGUUUUGCUGUCACUUAUAGAUGUAUCCGCGCCGCAUUAGCUAGUUGGUAAGGUAACGGCUUACCAAGGCAACGAUGCGUAGCCGAUCUGAGAGGGUGAAAGGGCACACUGGAACUGAGACACGGUACAGAAACGUAAGGGAGGCAGCAGUAGGGAAGAUUCAAAAAGGGGCGAAAGCUUGACAGAGCAAGGCCGCGCGAGUGAAGAAGGUAGUCGAAGUGUAAAAACCUGUUAAGAGGGAAGAACAAAAGUAGAAGGAACUAUGCACGUGUGUACGGUACAUAAUCAAAAAGACAAGGCUAACUACGUG
rnacentral:rRNA from 1 species